AGUUUGAUCAUGGCUCAGGAUGAAUGCUGGCGGCGUGCCUUAGGCAUGCAAGUCAAGGGGACCUAGUUUACUAGGUCACCGGCAGACGGGUGAGUAACGCGUAGGAAUCUACCCCUAGGAUCCGCAUAGCCCUCCGAAAGGAGGGGUAAUUCGGAAUGGUCUCGCAAGAGUAAAGGACUUAACGGUCCACCAAGGGAGGAGCCUGCGUCCUAUCAGCUUGUUGGUGGGGUAAAAGCCUACCAAGGCUAUGACGGGUAGCUGGACUGAGAGGUCGAUCAGCCACAACUGCACUGAAACACGGGCAGUACAUCUACGGAUGGCAGCAACCGGGAAUAUUGCGCAAUGGGGGAAACCCUGACGCAGCGACGCCGCGUGAAGGAAGAAGGUCUAUAGAUUGUAAACUUCUUUUGCCAAGCCGUUCACAGCUUGGAGAAUAAGCCUCUACUAACUACGUGCCAGAAGUCUCGGUAAUACGUAGGAGGCAAGCAUUAUCCGGAUUCAUUGGGCGUAAAGUGUGCGUAGGCGGCGUAGUGUGUCGCAUCUUAAAUACCAAGGCUUAACCUCGGAUAUGGAUGCGAAACUGCUAUGCUAGAGGAUUGUUAGGGAUGCUAGAACAGUUAGUGUAGCAGUGAAAUGCGUUGAUAUUAACUGGAAUACCGAAGGCGAAGGCAGGCAUCUGGAAUUUUCCUGACGCUGAGGCACGAAAGCUAGGGGAGCGAAACAGAUUAGAGACCUGUGUAGUCCUAGCCGUAAACGAUGUCCGCUAGCUAUCACUCACAAAGUGCGUAAGCACUUUGUGGAAAUUCGAAGCACGAAAUCCGAAAUACGAAAUAAAGUAUAAAUUCUAAUAAUAAAAUAUUAAAACAUUUGAUUUUAGAAAUUAAAAUUUGUUUCGAGUUUCGAUAUUAGAAUUUUGAAUUUUCAAAAAGCUUAUGCUUUUUGUGAGUGGUGGUGUAAGCUAACGCGUUAAGCGGACCGCCUGGGGAGUACGGUCGCAAGACUAAAACUCAAAGGAAUUGACGG
rnacentral:rRNA from 1 species